UACAUAGGGUGCAAGCGUUGUCCGGAAUUAUUGGGCGUAAAGAGCUCGUAGGUGGUUUAUCACGUCGGAUGUGAAAUUCUGAGGCUCAACCUCGGACCUGCAUUCGAUACGGGCAAACUAGAGUGUGGUAGGGGAGACUGGAAUUCCUGGUGUAGCGGUGGAAUGCGCAGAUAUCAGGAGGAACACCAAUGGCGAAGGCAGGUCUCUGGGCCAUUACUGACACUGAGGAGCGAAAGCGCGGGGAGCGAACAGG
rnacentral:rRNA from 1 species